AAAAAUACUACGCGUGGGUGAAGAAGAAGCACCCAAACAAAAAAAAUCAAUGGGUACAACGAGGUUCUGGUGGAGAUUUAUGGCCAAUAAAGGGGUUUUUAAACAAGAUAUCAUGUUGACGGCCCUGGGCCUAUAUAAAAAAAACUGAUGGCCGAUUCUGAAAGAUGGCGGAUCGAAGCAGAAUGAAAUGGUUUUGUUCCAGAUGGGCCGGUGUACUAUGGAUUAAGGUCGUUCCGGAAAUUUAAGGUCUUAAAAUUCAGGUGGACCAAUUCUAGUUCCUAGACCUCUUAUUCCGUUUGGGAUUGGU